rnacentral:lncRNA from 1 species
GACGAGGAAAGAAGCAAAUGCAUUUGUUUGGUGUGGCGGAGACAAUACACUCCAUAACUGCUUAAAUAGACAAACCCUCUAACCCUAUUUCAAUUAUAAAAUGAAUAAAUCAAUUGAAUUUCAAGGCGGGAGAAACUGAAAGUGAAAUUCGAAAUUACUUUUUACCUCUUGAUCUUAUCUUAUCCCUUUGGAGGAAAAUCCAAUCUACAGGUAUAUUGACCAAACCUGCAAAAUCAACAAAUAAUGAAUCAUUAAAAUGGUAAUUUUUCAACAUUGGGGUUUUCUUCAUGUAAAGACAUGUGAAAUUUUUCUGAAAUUAGAGGAGGAUUUGAAGAGAGGGAAGGGUUAAAAAUGAAAUUUUUCUAGCGAUGACAGAGUGAAGAAGAUGUUGCAUUGAUAAGUAAUUGAAACUUUUUGGUUGUGAAAAUGGUUUCAAAUUUGUUAGCCAAAAGAAGAAGAGGAGUUCUGCUUUGCAGAACAAUGAAAACGACGCCUCAUGAUCUUCCACUGUCCUAUUUUGUUUUUUUUCGAUUUUUUUAUUGUUUUCAACAAACCGGACCGGGCUUGUUUGGGCCUUAAUGGAUUGGACUGUUGUUUUUGGCCCAGCAAGCAAUGAGAUGAAUGGGAGGGAAAGGAAAUUCAAAUUGCUGGCCAAAAGAAGCAAAGUUUUUCAAAUUUUUCCAGCUAGGAUUUUUUCUGCAUGAUUGUGUGAUUGACAUGUGGCUAAAAUUACCCUAAAGUUGUGUUGAAUUUGUGAAAUUAGAGGAGGAUUUGAAGAGAGGGAAUGGUUAAAAAUGAAAUUUCUCUAGCGAUGACAGAGUGAGAAGAAGAUGUUGCAUCGAUAAGUAAUUGAAACUUUUUGGUUGUGAAAAUGGUUUCAAAUUUGUUAGCCAAAAGAAGAAGAGGAGUUCUGCUUUGCAGAACAAUGAAAACGACGCCUCAUGAUCUUCCACUGUCCUAUUUUGCUUUUUUUCGAUUUUUUUAUUGUUUUCAACAAACCGGACCGGGCUUGUUUGUGCCUUAAUGGAUUGGACUGUUGUUUUUGUCCCAGCAAGCAAUGAGAUGAAAGGGAGGGAAAGGAAAUUCAAAUUGCUGGCCAAAAGAAGCAAAGUUUUUCAAAUUUUUCCAGCUAGGAUUUUUUCUGCAUGA